rnacentral:lncRNA from 1 species
AUGGAGCCCCGAAUGUUGCAUGUGCCACGGCCCUCCCGACGGCCCCCUGCAGUGUCGCCCGCUGUCACACUGUCUCGUUGUGUCCAACACUGUCCUCUCCCGGUGUCUCCGGUCCGUGACCGCGGAGCCCUCCUCUCGCUCAGCGGUGCCGCAGCGCUUUCCUCUCCCCACGGAGCCCCGCGGGGACGGGGACGCUCCCGUGGAACUCAGCAGAGGGGAACCGGAGGGCGGUGGAGAGCGGGGGCACAGACCCCAUCCCCGAACCGGCGCUCAGGACGCGGUGCCGCCGGUGGGGGUCCCGGUGGGACGGAGGGUCAGGCAGCCGCUGAGCCCUGGGGUCGGUACGCGGCGAGGGCGCAACCCGUCGGGGGGGCCGUGCCCGGGGAAGGCCGGGGGCAGCCCCUCCGGGCGGGGACCGGGAAGCGCAGGAGCCGCCCUGUCGGGGCCGCCGCGAUUGCGGAGCCGCGGGCAACGCGGGGAAAACGGGGGGUGGGGGUGAGCAGCCGGGUGUCCCGAGGCAGCGGGGAGCGGGGCAGCGCCGGGACCGCCGCAGCAGUUUCCCCGGUGGGCACCGGGAAUACGGAGCGGGGACGUGGGGACAUCGGGGAAGCACUGCGGGACACCUGCGGGCCCGCCCCGCCCCGCCCCGCAGCGUGCGGAACCGCGCCCGUCCCGUCCCACGGCGUCCCGGGAGCGGAUCCGAGCGGAGCGAUGCGGUGCGGUGCGGUGCGGUGCGGGCUCAGGUGUGUUCAGCGCCGUCCGCGCGGCCACCGGGCGUGGAGCCACCAGGAACUGCCCCGGGUUUUCCUGCCCGUCCCGUCGGGGCGCGGGGCCGGAGCGGGCGCGGCGGGGCGCAGCCUGGGGACCCCGGCCCGGUAUCGGUUCUGCUUUCGGGGGAGGCGGCGAUUUCGCAGUAACGGGGGGCGGGUGCCACCUGCCCCGGGGAUUCCCCACCUGCCGCCGCCCCAUAAAAGCCGAUGGAUCCGCCGGUGGCGGCACUGA